rnacentral:rRNA from 1 species
CGCACGAGCGCACCCCUAUCCUUAUUUGCCAGCACGUAAUGGUGGGGACUCUAGGGAGACUGCCGGUGAUAAACCGGAGGAAGGUGGGGACGACGUCAAGUCAUCAUGGCCCUUACGAGUAGGGCUACACACGUGCUACAAUGGCGUAUACAGAGGGUUGCAAAGCCGCGAGGUGGAGCUAAUCUCACAAAGUACGUCGUAGUCCGGAUCGGAGUCUGCAACUCGACUCCGUGAAGUCGGAAUCGCUAGUAAUCGUGGAUCGGAAUGCCACGGUGAAUACGUUCCCGGGCCUUGUACACACCGCCCGUCACACCAUGGGAGUGGGUUGCUCCAGAAGUAGAUAGUCUAACCCUCGGGAGGACGUUUACCACGGAGUGAUUCAUGACUGGGGUGAAGUCGUAACAAGGUAGCCCUAGGGGAACCUGGGGCUGGAUCACCUCCUU